CCCCUAAAAGAUUUAGAUGCACUAUUGUAAAGUGGCUGUUCCACUGGAUGUCUUAAGGUGUAUGCACCAAUUUGUAAGUCGAUCUGGAUAAGAGCGUCUCCUAAAUGACUUAAAUGUAAAUGUAAUGUAUCCCAUGUUCCCUAUACAACUGACUAGGUAUCCCCCUUUCCCUAUACAACUGACUAGGUAUCCCUCUUUCCCUAUACAACUGACUAGGUAUCCCUCUUUCCCUAUACAACUGACUAGGUAUCCCCCUUUCCCUAUACAACUGACUAGGUAUCCCUCUUUCCCUAUACAACUGACUAGGUAUCCCUCUUUCCCUAUACAACUGACUAGGUAUCCCUCUUUCCCUAUACAACUGACUAGGUAUCCCCCCUUCCCUAUACAACUGACUAGGUAUCCACCUUUCCCUAUAGAACUGACUAGGUAUCCCCCUUUCCCUAUACAACUGACUAGGUACCCC